AUUAAUUUGGGAUAAUAUCAUAGACACAGACAAUUCAUACAGUUUUACAUGGUUAACAAUCUAGCUUUGCUUUUGUUCUUGUGUUUGGUAUUUCCAAUUCAAGUUUCUGAUGGCCGGAUGCAUCCCAAUGCAAUACAAUACAUAAAGUAGCAGAAUUUAUUACCAGACCUCAAUAAUAGGAGAUGUUACUAUCGGACUUCUAACAGAGUGGUUACCAUUCUGUUCAACCCAAGUGAUCGAACCAACGUUUCUACUUUGACCCUCAUCGCCUAUAUAGCGAAUUGUCAAAGUAUAACUUUGCUUCUCAUUUUUGUUCUUG
rnacentral:misc_RNA from 1 species